GAUUGAGAGACUUUAGGCCCUUAAAAUCUAGAUUACAAAGAUGGGACGAACAGUAUAUGCUGAAGAACAAAUAAAGGACUUUAUAGAUAUUCUUGAUGCUUCUGGAAAAUGUAAUAUAGGCAUGAUUGUAGGUCAGCAGAAUAGUUCAAGUAAGGAUCAUGUCAUAUUAUUGGUUCCCACACCAAAUUCAAAUGGAGGAGAAUUUAAACCAGAUGCUAUUGAUGAACAAUGGAUCUCCCAGCACUCAAUACAGGUGACAAGAAUGAUGCCUGGUGGACUGAAUGUGAUUGGCAUCUUCGUCUGUGCGACACCUGAACAUCUGAAGACAUUACAACCAAAGCUAAGACAGGCGGUGUUUGCUGUGCAGAAACACAUGAAACGAAAAGAGAUUGUAAAGACAGCUGACAAGAUCACUGAAAGAAUUGUGGUACAGAUAUGUGCUGUAACAAAAAAAAUCACAUGUAGAGGCGUCGAUGUUGCUGAUCCAAACAGUGUAAUGAAACCAGUAGACUGGAAGUUUCAAAGCUCGCUCAACAAAUGGCCGCUUGUGACCUCUGUCCUUCAUGUAGAUUUAUCAAUACCUGUCACUAUGACAACAGGAAAAUCUGCACUUUUGAAAAAAUUUCAUAAUGGCUUAGCUCCAUUUUUAAAUUCAAUUCAGCAAUCAAUUUCAACAGUAAAUGGUGAGCUAAGACCUGGGCAAAAUCCAUUAGAUAAACAGUCCAAGUCAGGAAAGUCAGGAAAGAAGGGAUCUAGUGCAAGCGGAGGAUCCAGGCAGGUGUAUGAGGUGAAUCUCUUUAAUAAAAUGGUAUGCGACAAUUACCAGGUAGUGAAAUCAGAUUGUUCAGCUUGUUUUCAUUUACGAGGAAGUUUACAAUGUCGUGCAUACGUCAACAAUAAAGCUACGGUAGAUAAUGCAACACAGGCUCUAAAGGAAGAUGCAAUAAGAAGUUUACAAGCUCGAUGUGACCUGCUAGUGGAUGACCUCAUACAGAAUCCAGAGGACACUGAGGGCAGUACAACUCCUGGUUUCAACAGAGCAACUGUAUUACCACGGAGGGUGUUUACACCAGUUCCUGGAAUGUCAAUUGAUGCAUGUGACUACAUGUUUCCUGACGAGUCAUCAGCUGACUGCCUUGAGAGGUUUUCAGAAAUCCUCAGCUUAGAUACGACAACAGACAUGUUAGACUUCACAUCAGAAACCGUACCAGAUAUUGACGAUCUUAGUCAUGACACAGACAAUGAAGAAACAAUUCCAGUUGAUGAUAGGAAUGUUGGAAGACCUACUAGCAAAGCAGGAAGAGGAACAUAUAUAGCUGCUGCCCUCAGCUUAUCAGGGGCUGCUGUCGCAGCCUUGAUGUCUUACCUAACCCUGGCGAAUGAUUGACAAGGCAAUGAUCAAAUGUGUGCAGAUGGGAUCCAGUUCCUAGGUCAAGUCAAUGUGUGCAGAUGCAAGGAAGUGCCUGGCUCCUUUUCGAUUACGAUUUUCUUUGAUUGAUCGCUUGCAAUCUAGGCAAAGUCUUGAGAUUGAACAGUCCAAGUUCCUUGUUGGCAUAGUGUGGAGUGGGUUUUCUCCAACUCGAUCAUCUGAAUCCAGUACAUAGGAAUAUAUCUUGCAUGAUUGGCUUUCAUGCAUAGAACCAUGGUAACAUCAUUCUGAUUGCUGCUAGAUGUAGUUCCCAAUCAGAUGUUAUAGUUGUAUGUAUAAAUGCCAGAAGGAGUGACACCAUAUCAAGAAAGGAAUGCCAUAAAUCAAAUAAAGGAUCAUCUUUCUUCUUUACAGCUAUGAAGUCUUUAUAAUGUUUCAUCAGUGUCUUCAUUUUUGUCACCAACAUUACUCCAACUGAUUGACAUUAUCUUGGCAUGAUUCUGUCAUAUUGGCCUUCAUCAACAGAUUCAAGAAAGGCACAAAACUUAAAAUUUCUAAAUGCCUCAUAGACAAUCUUGUAUGUGUGUGUGGCUCGAUUAUAAAUGGUGUCCUGAAGUGACUUCUUUAUGUCUUACUGUCAUGUGCCUGACAGUAAGAUUAAGGAUUUUGGUGUUUGGCAUCUUCCUUUCGAAGCCAUGUACAUGAUGUCCUGGCAGAUUGCAUCAAGUUUACUUCAGACAUCUUCUGGAACAUUCCCCAUACAUGGAUCAAUGUGCUGCUCU
rnacentral:misc_RNA from 1 species